rnacentral:rRNA from 1 species
GACAUGCGAGUCGAGCGUCUCUAGUUAUGGUGAGACGCGGCAGACGGCUCAGUAACACGUGGCUAACCUACCCUCAGGACAGGGACAAACCCGGGAAACUGGGGCUAAUACCCGAUAGGCGAGGGCGCCUGGAAUGGUUCUUCACCCAAAGGGCUUUGGAAGCAUGCUUUUCAAAGUCGCCUGGGGAUGGGGCCGCGUCCGAUCAGGUUGUUGGUGAGGUAACGGCUCACCAAGCCUAUAACCGGUACGGGCCGUGAGAGCGGUAGCCCGGAGAUGGGCACUGAGACAAGGGCCCAGGCCCUACGGGGCGCAGCAGUCGCGAAAACUCCGCAAUGCACGAAAGUGUGACGGGGCUACCUCGAGUGCCGUCCGCUGAGGAUGGCUUUUCCUCGGUGUAACUAGCCGGGGGAAUAAGGAGAGGGCAAGACUGGUGUCAGCCGCCGCGGUAAUACCAGCUCUCCGAGUGGUAGGGAUGAUUAUUGGGCUUAAAGCGUCCGUAGCCGGCUUAGCAAGUCUCCUGUUAAAUUCAGCGACCUAAUCGUUGAGCCGCGGGAGAUACUACUAAGCUAGGAGGCGGGAGAGGUCGACGGUACUUCCGGGGUAGGGGUGAAAUCCUAUAAUCCCGGGAGGACCACCAGUGGCGAAGGCUGUCGACUAGAACGCGCUCGACGGUGAGGGACGAAAGCUGGGGGAGCGAACCGGAUUAGAUACCCGGGUAGUCCCAGCUGUAAACGAUGCGGGCUAGGUGUUGGGGUGGCUACGUGCCACUUCAGUGCCGCAGGGAAGCCAUUAAGCCCGCCGCCUGGGGAGUACGGCCGCAAGGCUGAAGCUUAAAGGAAUUGGCGGGGGAGCACCACAAGGCGUGAAGCUUGCGGUUCAAUUGGAUUCAACGCCGGGA